UUAAUUGAAGAGUUUGAUCAUGGCUCAGAUUGAACGCUGGCGGCAGGCCUAACACAUGCAAGUCGAGCGGCAGCACAGAGGAACUUGUUCCUUGGGUGGCGAGCGGCGGACGGGUGAGUAAUGCCUGGGAAAUUGCCCGGUAGAGGGGGGAUAACCAUUGGAAACGAUGGCUAAUACCGCAUAACCUCGCAAGAGCAAAGCAGGGGACCUUCGGGCCUUGCGCUACCGGAUAUGCCCAGGUGGG
rnacentral:rRNA from 1 species